rnacentral:rRNA from 1 species
CCUACGGGUGACAGCAGUGAGGAAUAUUGGUCAAUGGACGGAAGUCUGAACCAGCCAUGCCGCGUGCAGGAAGACGGCUCUAUGAGUUGUAAACUGCUUUUGUACAAGGGUAAACCUGAAUACGUGUAUUCCGCUGAAAGUACUGUACGAAAAAGCAUCGGCUAACUCCGUGCCAGCAGCCGCGGUAAUACGGAGGAUGCGAGCGUUAUCCGGAUUUAUUGGGUUUAAAGGGUGCGUAGGCGGGCUGUUAAGUCAGCGGUCAAAUGUCGGGGCUCAACCCCGGCCUGCCGUUGAAACUGGCGGCCGCGAGUGGGCGAGAAGUAUGCGGAAUGCGUGGUGUAGCGGUGAAAUGCAUAGAUAUCACGCAGAACUCCGAUUGCGAAGGCAGCAUACCGGCGCCCGACUGACGCUGAGGCACGAAAGCGUGGGUAUCGAACAGGAUUAGAUACCCGAGUAGU